UUGGGAAGUCCUCGUGUUGCACCC
rnacentral:rRNA from 1 species